rnacentral:lncRNA from 1 species
GAAAAAAAUGCACCAUUUUAGCCAAACCUGACAUUAACCAUAUGCCAAGCCUCUUGAUGAGACCCACAUACAUAUGAUUCUACAUCUUGCAAAGCUCACUAGGUGGACUUCAUGAACUUUAUUCACUGGAAAGCUCUGAUGCUCCAUGGAACAUGCAUGAUAGACAUAAGUCACCUCAAAAGUAUCCAACCAUGAUUCCAAAUCAGUUCCUGCUGUAAGAGAUUUCUAAUUUUGAUUUGAACUAGUCUCCAGAGCAGAAGGAUAUGUCACUGAAGCAGGUACCCUAGGAUGUUGUGCCAGGACACAAAGGUCAGGAUGGGUUA